UUAAAAAUCACUUGCCUCGAACAGAUGAACUGUCUCCCUUGGGACAAAGCUUGCCUAGACAUCAACUGAGCCACAUAGCGAAAUUGGUGCAACUUUACGGUGAUCUUCGUCCUAUUGAGCUCGAAUGUCCCUAGGGGCCAACGUCUAAUUGAUUUUAAUUAAAGUGAUAGCUAUGUGCGAAUUGGUUCACUUAAUUUGGGCAAGAAUCUGGUAAUGAAAUCCAGUUCUUAUCUUGAUGGGGUGAUUGCCCUUACUAUGUCCAGAUUAAUUAGUGUAUGUGUAUCAGGCAUACAUUCACACUUUUACUGAAAUUAAAAUCAAACAAUCACCACAAUAUUUCAAGCAAACUGGGAAUCAAUUUAAAUAAGAAAGGUUUAGAGGUUACCAAAGAAAAUUUCCCCAGCAAUUUUUUUUUUAAUUUUUAGGCAAACCUUUACAGCAUUCCUUCUCUAGCAGUUCCCUUUCUGAUUGUCCCUAUCUUCCUUUUCGAAUCCUGAUCAAAUAAUACCCAAAAGAAAAAUCAAAAAUUAGUAAGAGAGAAGAAAGGGGAUAAGGAAAGUAACAAAAAUAGAAAAUAUUUUUAUUUUAUUUUAGAUAUAUAUUAUCAUUAUUAUUAUUAUUUUUAUUUUUUUAAAAAAAUUAUGAAAAGAAAACAACUAAGCUAGCAAUCCCCGGCAACAGUGCCAAAAAUUGUUAGUCAAUUUUAAAUAGCACAUAUCUGGUAGGAUAGUGAUUACGGGUAUCGAUCCACAGGGAUUGGGGUACAGUUAUUUUCUUAAAAAUAAAAAUAUUUAAAAGAAAGAGUUUGUAACAAAAAAAAUCAAACUAAAGAAUUUAAUAAAAAAUGCAAUUAAAAUGAUAUCAGUUUGAGAGAACCUAGGGCAUGGAAUUCACCACUAACAUCGGAACAAGGGUUAAUUAUAUUUUAAUUUAUUCUUGGAUUAACAUGCAAAUUGGCUACAAGCCUAAUAAGCAUUUAGAUAAAAUUUCACAAAAGUAAUUUAGAAAUAAUCCAUCUUUAGUUGGCAUGCAAUGUCUAUCCUAAGCUAAGGUGGCAGCACAUCGCAUCUUCCUUAAGCAUGAACUAUC
rnacentral:lncRNA from 1 species